AUUGAACGCUGGCGGCAGGCCUAACACAUGCAAGUCGAGCGGAGCGGCGGACGGGUGAGUAAUGCCUAGGAAUCUGCCUGGUAGUGGGGGAUAACGUCCGGAAACGGGCGCUAAUACCGCAUACUAUCAAAUGAGCCUAGGUCGGUUUAGUUAGUUGGUGGGGUAAAGGCCUACCAAGGCGACGAUCCGUAACUGGUCUGAGAGGGUGGUCAGUCACAGUGGAACUGAGACACGGUCGAGACUCCUACGGGAGGCAGCAGUGGGGAUUAUUGAACAAGGGGCGAAGGCCUGAUCCAGCCAGGCCGCGUGUGUGAAGAAGGUCUUCGGAUUGUAAAAAACUUUAAGUUGGGAGGCGUUACCAACAGAAUAAGCACCGGCUAACUUCGUGCCAGCAGCCGCGGUAAUAC
rnacentral:rRNA from 1 species